CGUGAACCUGGUGAUGACUCUACAGGGUGGGAUAGUGACAUCUCAGCCUUACUGUUGCUGCUGUAUCUCCUGCCCCCAACUCCAAAAGGUCACAAGAAGGCAGCAAAGAUCAGCCCCCUUCAGGCAGCUGACCAUGUGGUGCGAUUUCUUAGGAUGGGAACCAGCAUUCCAAUGUUUUUGGAGAAAGUCGGAUCUGCACAGCCUUUCCUGCUCUGUAUUGGAGAAAAU